rnacentral:misc_RNA from 1 species
AGAACAACAAAUUACCAGGUCUUGGGUUUCGAUCCAGGCUUGAUUCUGGGGUUGCGGCAUCGUCUGCAGCCCUAAAGUAAUGUGGCGGCACCGAUAGGUUCUAAGCGUAGUAAUUUCUCCUCGCUACAGAGUCUUUCGGCGCAUUGGGUACUCACUCCCGGCCAUAAAACCCCCAAUUUUA